AGGACGAACGCUGGCGGCGUGCUUAACACAUGCAAGUCGGAACGGAACUAUUAUGGAAAAUCUUCGGAUGGGAAGUAUUAGUUAGUGGCGAACGGGUGAGUAACGCGUGAGGAACCUGCCUUUCAGAGGGGGACAACAGUUGGAAACGACUGCUAAUACCGCAUAAUAUGUUUUCUUCGCAUGAAGGGAACAUCAAAGAUUUUAUCGCUGAAAGAUGGCCUCGCGUCUGAUUAGAUAGUUGGUGGGGUAACGGCCUACCAAGUCGACGAUCAGUAGCCGGACUGAGAGGUUGAACGGCCACAUUGGGACUGAGAUACGGCCCAGACUCCUACGGGAGGCAGCAGUGGGGAAUAUUGGGCAAUGGGCGCCAAGCCUGACCCAGCAACGCCGCGUGAAGGAAGAAGGCUUUCGGGUUGUAAACUUCUUUUACCAGGGACGAAGGAUGUGACGGUACCUGGAGAAAAAGCCACGGCUAACUACGUGCCAGCAGCUGC
rnacentral:rRNA from 1 species